rnacentral:rRNA from 1 species
UACGGAGGGUGCAAGCAUUAAUCGGAUUUAUUGGGCGUAAAGGGCGCGUAGGCGGGGGCCUAAGUCAGAUGUGAAAUCCCGGGGCUCAACCUCGGAACAGCAUUUGAAACUAGAUCUCUAGAGGGUAGGAGGAGAAAAUGGAAUUCCACAAGUAGCGGUGAAAUGCGUAGAUAUGUGGAAGAACACCAGUGGCGAAGGCGGUUUUCUAUCUUAUUCCUGACGCUAAAGCGCGAAAGCAAGGGGAUCAAACAGG